GGUUUUAUAAUUUAAUAAAAAAUGUUAAAUUGCAAAUUUAAUAAUACAUAUAAUUGUUGAAACUUA
rnacentral:tRNA from 1 species